rnacentral:tRNA from 1 species
AGUAGCUCAAUUGGAUAGAGCAUCCCCCUCCUAAGGGGAAGGUUGGAGGUUCUUGUACAGUCAAGAUUUCACUGCACAUUGGAACCUUGUAAAAUCUGAGCCCCGCCA